UACAGAGACGUCGAGCGUUGUUCGGAUUCAUUGGGCGUAAAGGGUGCGUAGGCGGUGAGGUAAGUCGGAUGUGAAAUCCCAAGGCUUAACCUUGGAAGUGCAUCCGAAACUACCUCGCUUGAGGACUGGAAGGGAGACUGGAAUUCUCGGAGUAGCGGUGAAAUGCGUAGAUAUCGAGAGGAACACCUGUGGCGAAGGCGGGUCUCUGGACAGUUCCUGACGCUGAGGCACGAAAGCCAGGGGAGCAAACGGG
rnacentral:rRNA from 1 species